rnacentral:lncRNA from 1 species
GGAGCCCGGCGGACGCUGGGUCUGCAGAUGCCAUCCAGGCGCACGGCGGGUAUAGUGGUUCCGCAACCUUGGGAUGUUCGGCUGAGCGCCUGCCUAACAUGGGAGCGCCUGCCUAACCCUCCUGACUGGAGGGUCAGCGGCGGGGAGUCCUGGCCUUCAAUCGGCCAUCGCCACGGCAGAAACUGGGGCCCGGGCUGCGUCCAGGCCCUUCCCCGUCCGUCCACAGGUCUCAUGGGCGCCCGGACUGGGGCUGAUGUAGUUUCCCGACCUCUGACACAUAGGAUCUGGAGAUUAAAGCUGCUCUGCUAAUAAUUAGGUUCCCACCUCUCAAGAUCAUUAGGAGCUUCUUUUCCAAUUCCUCUGUUUUGCAUGCAUUGGAAGGAUCUGGAGCUCAGGACCCACUACCUCCCCGGCCCACUGCAAGCUUGAACAUUUGAUGGUGGACACCCCUCCCUGACUUUGUAUUAUGUGUCACUGGUGUGGGGGUUACCUUCCCACUAUGUCUCCCAGAAGACAUGAGGGCACAGACUACAGUGCCUGUGGACAGAGGAGCUGUGGGGAUGGAAGUGUGAUUGCUUCAUUCAAAUGCACGCCCCGGUGCGUGUGCGUCUCUUCUGAUGCAGCUCCCCAUGGCUGAAUACUUCUGUAUGUCAGCUUAGCACCCCUAGCAUCAGCCAUGCUACUCUCCUGCUGUGCAUAGAUGGGGGCCUGUCCCCCUGCUGAAUCUCCUGGGUUCCUGCUGUCAACACCUGAAGGCCCCUGGAUCCUCCUGGAAUCCCUGAUCCCUGUUGCUCCCUGGCGGAGUUUUCUAGUCCCUCUUACUUGAAGCAUGUCUUUCAGAGCCCGGCACCACCCAAGUUGGGUAUCUGCUACACCUCUAUGGUAUUUUUUUCACCUCAUAUCAUACCUUCCUCCCUCACUGGACUUCAGUGUGGGACCUGCAGGUCUCAGGCCUUCUGGGAAGUCCCAGCUUUUCUUGAAUGUUCUCUCUCUCUGGCCAGCUCAGGCUGGAGCAGUGGGUGUUGGUGCCAUCCUGUGGCUAUAGGUGAUAAGCCGGCUGUUCUUCACUGACCUGGUCUUACCUUGAACCCUGGAGUUCUCACAUGCAUGGAUUUAAAUGCUGUGUCUUUCUAAGGGCACAUUAUGGCCAUUUUCCUUAUCUCCCUCCCAAGGGGCUGUUUCCUGUAUUUAUUGACUCCCUGUUUAAAAAAAAUAUAUGUAUAUAUAGACAAAUUGGAUUGUACCCCAUAAACUGCAUGUUUUAAAAAUACUUCAAAGAAUAGUUUUUCAUUUUUUUCUUGCUGGUUUUUAUGUAUCUUCUAAAUUGUAUAUAUUUAUGGGGUAUAAAAUGAUGUUGUGAUUUUUCAAUACAGUGUGGAAUGAGAAUCAAAUUAACCUAUCCGUUACCUCAAGUACUUGACUUUUUUUGUGAUGAGAAGGCUGUUUAUCACUUUCACUCACCAGCUCCUGCUGUCUUCCAUGCUGGGGACAGGAAAGGCUCCACGCUUGACUUUCCCUCCUGUUUUCUUAUCUGCUGUCAACCCCUGAAUGUACCCUCCAGGAUUGACUUCUAGACCUUCUACAUCUAGCUCGAUCGUUGUGCACCCACCUUCCUCCCAGGGACUGUCCUUAGGGAGUGACUUUAUGCACAAACUUCACAUGCUCUUCCUGCCUCCUUCAUCCCCAGAAGCCCCCAUCUCAGCCCCAUCUGAUUAUUUCCUCCCUCUCUCAUUUCCUGUUAUGCUGUUGGUUUUCUAACCUGAAGGGUAACUUCUUACUCCUUAGUUUUUUGCCUUAAUUUCUAAGUCAUAGGCUACUUUCAGGCUAAAAGUUUUCCUCCAGCCAUGGUUUUAGUCUCAUUCUAUAAGUCUUGCUAGGUAGUUUAUUCAUUGGAAAUUUUUUGUUUUUGAGACAGAGUCUCGCUCUAUCACCCAGGCUGUAGUACAGUGGUGCCAUCUCAGCUCACUGCAACCUCCGGUUCCCGGGCUCAAGCAGUUCUCUUUCCUCAGCCUCCUGAGUAGCUGGGAUUAUGGGUGCCUGCCACCACACCCAGCUAAUUUUUGUAUUUUUAGCAGAGACGGCAUUUCACCAUGUCAGCCAGGUUGGUCUCGAACUCUUGACCUCAAGUGAUCCGCCCGCCUUGGCCUCCCAAAAUACUGGGAUUACAGGGGUGAGUCACCGCACCCCACCCCUUGGCACUAUAUUUAAGUGAUGAUAUUUUUGGACACUGAGGUAGCCUCAUUCCACAGGUUUAGAUCUGAAGCAUUUUCACUAUUGCUUCUUUCCAUGUAUUUCCUGGUUUGCAGGUCAGUUUCUUCUUUUAAUUCAUCAUUGACACAGUGGUUUAUAUGGCUUUUAAUUUCAAAAGAUUUUUUAAAAUAUCUUUUUGCCGAUUUUUAUCUAUGUUAAUUUUAACUAGACAUGUUCCCUGGAAGGACAUCACUAGUUUUUUUUUUUUUUUUCCCUCUGUUUAUAAUUUAGGUGGAUUUUCACAUCUCAAGCCAGCUAAGAGUAUGGGAAAUAGGACUCGUUAAAGCACAGGUAUCACACAAGUGAUUCAGAUUCACGAGGGUAAUCCAGAUGAAGGUAUAUCAUUGUACCUGGCCCGCAUCACUCAAUAACUGUCACCUUUGAUUUAUUGAUUUACUUGAGAUGGAGUUUGGUUCUGUCCCCGAGGCCGGAGUGCAAUGGCGUGAUCUCUGCUCACUACAACCUCUGCCUCCCAGGUUCAGAGUGAUUCUCCUGCCUCAGCCUCUUUAGCUGGGAUUACAGGCACCCACCAACAUGCCCAGCUAAUUUUUGUAUUUUUAGUAGAGAGGAGCUUUCACCAUAAUGGCCAGGCUGGUCUUGAACCUCAAAUGAUCUGCCCACCUUGGCCUCCCAAAGUGCUAGGAUUACAGGCUGGAGCUACGGAGCCCAGCCUGUCACCUUGAUUUAAAUGAAUGCAGCUUUCUUGGUGUCUUGAUGUUUGUGAAUUUCUGUGGAGUUUGAUACUGCUCCUUUUGCUGCUUGUUUUUCCAGAGUCCCCUUAUCACUUGACGUGCUGUUAUAUUAUGUUUGAUUUAUUACAGAUACCCCAUCAGCCUGAGUCUCUUAAAGGCCUUUAUACACAUAUGUCUACACAUAGGGAUUUGGAUGAUCUCGGGAUCCCACAUCCUCGCUGUCCCCUGUCCCCCCACAACAUCCCACACCAAUACCUUUCUGAAGUUUUCUAGUCCCUCCUUUUUGUUUGUGGUCCUUAAAGCCCAGCCCCAUGCCUGACUUUGGUUCCCAGUGAGCAUUGUACAUUUGUGGAUAUUAAAUCUUUGGCAAAGUCAUUU